UAUCUUAAUUACCAGCUAUUAAAAAGUGAAAAAUAGGCAAUACCACAAUUUUGGAUAACAAUUUAGUAUAAAAAAGACUACAAACAGAAUGAACUAAACAGAGGCACAGAGGCAAUCUUCACAAUGGUUUCAAAGACAAGCGUCGUGAGCGUAUUAUUAGUUAUUUGUCUUAUUGGUUCAGUCCAAAUGUUGCCAACUGCUUCUGAAUGUCGCAAUAGAAGCUCGCAACCAAUGAAAACGAACAAUGCUAAUAGUUUGUUGUCCGACGUUAAUGUUGAAGUCAUAAGCCUUCAAGACAUUUUAAAUUGUCCAGAUAUACUUACUUCUUAAUAAUUUCAACUUUGAUUAAAAAGUAAGACGAAGUGCUAUUGAAAUGGUGUGCAAAGGUUUCUUGAAUAAAUAAAUUAUUGUAUGUUAA